GGAGGAAUACCCAAGUCCGGCUGAAGGGAUCGGUCUUGAAAACCGACAGGGCGUUACCGGCCCGCGGGGGUUCGAAUACCUCUUCCACCG
rnacentral:tRNA from 1 species